CGGGUAUAGUUCAAUGGUAGAACCUUAGCUUCCCAAGCUAAUGAUGCGGGUUCGAUUCCCGCUACCC
rnacentral:tRNA from 1 species